rnacentral:piRNA from 1 species
AUAAUGCGGUGGCCAAGGAAUGCAAACA